AAUGUCUUAAACUAUAACCAGAUACGGUUAGGGUAAUUAAUUGAAUAUGAUUUGUUAAUGAGAUGAAACUGUUCACUAUUAACAGGUACGAGCCUACUAUAUCGUCCAGGAACAGAGGAUGACGUCAUUGCAGUCAUCUUGGAUGUGUGUAGAUCGUAGAGUAGCGCUUGGGGACCAGUUUCGGAUCCAACAUGCUUCAAAAAUGGGGGUGUAUAGUUGUUGUUUUUCUUGUGUGUGUGUGCGUUUCCGUCGUGUCUUCGUUUCAUACACACCAAGUUUUCUUCAAUUUCCAAGAUAUUUUAUGGAAUUUUCAAGAUAGGUUAAUGAAUUUUAAAGAUGACUUUUAAAAAAAUUAAUUUUCGAAAAUUUAGGACCAUUUCUUAGUAUAGCUUUUGGAAUAUGUGUGUUAGUUUUCUCUAAAUGUCGCCGUAAUUUUUUCCCGUAUACAUGAUUUAUCAGUCUGUGUAAGAUACUGUUAAUCAAUAAAAAAUAUUAAUAGUUUAUCGAUGCCAUAAAAUAACGAUAUAAACUUUUGAUUUAAAGUGAUUUAUGACAUCAAACAUAUCAACACACGUCGAAACUUUAUAAAAAUUUGAAGGACAUUUGCUUCAUCGAUGAGUGCUGGUAUAAUGAAUACCUAAAAGAUAAGUGUGGGAUCUUAUUUAUCACCCAAUAUCAGUUUGGAACAAUACAUUGAAAACAAAGGAACAAACAACCAAGGACUAUGAGAUUUUAUUUAUUACCCAAUAAUAUUCAAUGCAAUGCAAUGUGGUUUAACGUCCUAUUUUUCUGCACCUACUGGACUAAUGAAUGCAGACUAACGCCAUACAGUAUGCCGAGGUAAAUUUUGCGCGGACAUCGGCGCUACGAUCAACAUUUAUAACGAAUGCUAACCACCAAAGGUACUUUCACGUGCGCGUUCGUUCCAGACACUGCCUUGUCAGGCCCUCCGUCCUGCACCACUGGCAGAGAAAGUUUCAUGUGAUAUUCCGGCAUGAUUUCCCCAUUUCAGUAGUUAGUGCAGGACGGAUGGCCUGGCAACGAGGCCUCAUGUUUCCCGACAGUUGAAAUUCGAAACAAGUGUAGGUCUAAAUUUUCCUCACUGCACAGUGCAUGGCGUGUGUCCGUUUUAAUGAACCCGGAUAGAGCAGAUAAAUGGGAAUUUAAACCCGUUUCCGUUCAGAUAUCAGGCGAUAUCUCUUGUGCAAUGGUAAAACCUAUUCUAGUCUCAAUCUUAUCAUUUACACGAACUGAACCGAUGCUUCAACAAACAUUAUAAAUGAUCACAUGCUAUGAAACAGGUUGUAGCAAAAAGGAAUGUAAGCCUAAUAUUUAUUUUAACUGAAACGGAAACAGAGAGAGAAAAAAAACCCAAGUGCACCUUUAAGAUAUACAUGCAGAUUGCAGCUUGUUUGGUCUUAUUUCGUCUAGUUUUGUUGUGACAUGCAUGUUUAUUUAACUUUCAUGUUGACACUGUGCAGUAAUAAGUAAACACCAAGGGAUUAACCCAAAACAAACCAAAAUAACUUGACAAUUGCGAUCGCUAAUGUCAACCUGAUCUUCAAAACAGACGAUGUAGUUAAAUGACACGACUGAAAUAUACAAACAAGUGCUUUGUGAAACUAAAAUAAAUUAAAAUACAAUAAAAUUGAAUUCCCAACAGGUCCUAACCAAGCGCUAGUGAAUUUUGAUCGGAGCGAAGUUCAUAGUUUUUGGACAGUGUCCACCUAGGCAUGUUCCCUUCUCCCUGCAUAUUUUUAGAAAACAUUUCGUUAUUUUA